rnacentral:tRNA from 1 species
GGGGUUGUGGCUCAGAGGUAGAGUGCUUGCCUAGCAUGCAUGAGGCAAUAAAAUAAAAGAUAUUAUGUCCACCCAUAACUAAAAAAUAAAUAUUUAAAAAUUAAAAAUAAAUAAAUAAAUAAAUAAAUGGAUUUAGUGGGCUGGGGUUGUGGCUCAGUAGUAGAGCACCGACCUAGCACGUGUGAGGUACUGGGUUUGAUCCUCAGUACCACA